rnacentral:rRNA from 1 species
AGAGUUUGAUCCUGGCUCAGGAUGAACGCUAGCGGCAGGCAUAACACAUGCAAGUCGAGGGGCAGCGGGGAGCAGCAAUGCUCUGCCGGCGACCGGCGAAAGGGUGAGUAACGCGUGAGCGACAUGCCCGUAUCUGGGGGAAAGGCGCUGGAAACGGCGUGUAAUACCGCAUAACAUUUCGCGUCGCAUGGCGUGGAAUUGAAAGCUUGGGCGGAUACGGAUUGGCUCGCGUCCGAUUAGGCAGACGGCGGGGUAACGGCCCACCGUGCCGACGAUCGGUAGGGGUUCUGAGAGGGAGGUCCCCCACAUUGGAACUGAGACACGGUCCAGACUCCUACGGGAGGCAGCAGUGAGGAAUAUUGGACAAUGGCCGGAAGGCUGAUCCAGCCAUGCCGCGUGAGGGAAUGAGGUCCUAUGGAUUGUAAACCUCUUUUCACGCAGGGCAAUAAGGUCCACGAGGUGGACCGACGAGAGUAUGCGUGGAAUAAGCAUCGGCUAACUCCGUGCCAGCAGCCGCGGUAAUACGGAGGAUGCGAGCGUUGUCCGGAUUUAUUGGGUUUAAAGGGUGCGUAGGCGGUCGUGCAAGUUGGAGGUGAAAUGCCGGCGCUCAACGUCGGGGGUGCCUCCAAUACUGUGUGGCUGGAAUGGCGAUGCCGCGGGAGGAAUGAGUGGUGUAGCGGUGAAAUGCAUAGAGAUCACUCAGAACGCCGAUUGCGAAGGCAUCUCGCGAAUCGUCUAUUGACGUUGAGGCUCGAAAGCGUGGGGAGCAAACAGGAUUAGAUACCCUGGUAGUCCACGCGGUAAACGAUGAUUGCUAGGUGUAGGUGGGUAUGGACCCCAUCGGUGCCGCAGUUAUCGCAGUUUGCAUAUCCACCUGGGGAGUACGUUCGCAAGAAUGUAACUCAAAGGAAUUGACGGGGUCCCGCACAAGCGGUGGAGCAUGUGGUUUAAUUCGAAGCAACGCGAAGAACCUUACCAAGUCUUGACAUCCCGCUAAAGCAGGGGCAAUGCCCUGUACCCUUAUGGGGAGCGGAGACAGGUGGUGCAUGGUUGUCGUCAGCUCGUGUCGUGAGAUGUUGGGUUAAGUCCCGCAACGAGCGCAACCCUUAUCCUUAGUAGCCAGCGAGAGAGACGGGCACUCUAGGGAGACUGCCGGGGAUAACCCGGAGGAAGGUGGGGAUGACGUCAAAUCAUCAUGCCCCUUAUGAUUUGGGCUACACACGUGCUACAAUGGCGUAAACAAAGGGAAGCGAGCCUGCGAGGGGGAGCGAAACCCAAAAAUAACGUCCCAGUUCGGAAUGCAGUCUGCAACCCGACUGCACGAAGCUGGAAUCGCUAGUAAUCGUGGAUCAGCAUGCCACGGUGA